CGGGAGUAACGCGUGAGGAACCUGCCUUUCAGAGGGGGACAACAGUUGGAAACGACUGCUAAUACCGCAUGACACAUUGGGGUCGCAUGGCCCUGAUGUCAAAGAUUUAUCGCUGAAAGAUGGCCUCGCGUCUGAUUAGCUAGUUGGUGAGGUAACGGCCCACCAAGGCGACGAUCAGUAGCCGGACUGAGAGGUUGACCGGCCACAUUGGGACUGAGGUACGGCCCAG
rnacentral:rRNA from 1 species